rnacentral:rRNA from 1 species
AUCCAGCAAUGCCGCGUGUGUGAAGAAGGCCUUCGGGUUGUAAAGCACUUUUGUCCGGAAAGAAAACCUCUGGGUUAAUACCCUGGGGGGAUGACGGUACCGGAAGAAUAAGCACCGGCUAACUACGUGCCAGCAGCCGCGGUAAUACGUAGGGUGCAAGCGUUAAUCGGAAUUACUGGGCGUAAAGCGUGCGCAGGCGGUCCGCUAAGACAGAUGUGAAAUCCCCGGGCUUAACCUGGGAACUGCAUUUGUGACUGGCGGGCUAGAGUAUGGCAGAGGGGGGUAGAAUUCCACGUGUAGCAGUGAAAUGCGUAGAGAUGUGGAGGAAUACCGAUGGCGAAGGCAGCCCCCUGGGCCAAUACUGACGCUCAUGCACGAAAGCGUGGGGAGCAAACAGGAUUAGAUACCCUG